UCAAACUCGGUAAUUUCUCGCCCGUACUCGUGCCGAACCGAGGUGGUGGCAGGGUGUUCGCCGAGGCCACCUCGGAUUUGCCGAGUUGCACGCUCCUUGAAGUCUUACAACGAUCACUGAUCGGCCCUCAUAACCAUGGCUAUUCUCUUCGUCGAUUCUCAUAUCGGGCAGCUUGCUCCCUGAUUUCCCAUGCCCCCGCCCACGGCCCUCCUUGUCCAUUCCCAUGUUGGUCAAUUCCCAUGUGCAGAAACCACAACCAAAUCAUCUGAAUCCCUUAUUAUCCUACAAAUUCGUUUUCAUCUAUCAGAAAUUGAUACCAAAUCACUUGACCCGAUCAAAAUCGCAGAGAAUUUAUUUUGUAAACAAAUUGGCGACUUUUCGUCAGGAUCAUUUCCAUAGUAGAAGCAGAGCGGUUGAAGUAUUCAUCAUAAUUGAGUUGAUAUGAAAUUAGUAGGUAUGUAUUGGUUUCUUUCCUUGUUUUCCUUCACUAUUUUACUUCCAAACACUCCUUUGUAUCUAAUGCAUAUUAAGUGUUUGACGAAAUGCCUAACUGAUUUUAUUUAUUUAUUUAUUUAUUUAUUUAUUUAUUUAUUUAUUUUUAAUUUAAUGCAAUAUUAGCUCUAUGGUUUGUUAAUACCGAGGUGUUCUGAAUUCAUAGACUAUUAAAAAAACAAAGAAUACUUACAGGAAAUAAGUACUGAUCUCCAAAUAUUCGUCAAUUCUUACAAAAAAAUUGUACACACCCAAUACAAUAUGAGAGAAGUAAUGGUUCCUAGGCAGUGCGAUUAUUAUGUUAGCUAACAUUACAUUUUCAGAUUAACUAAAUUUGCUUCUUACUAUAGCUAGUUAAUUUUCUUAUGAUGUGUUUGCAAAAAAAUUGAUCAACAUCAAAUAUCUUGUCUUUGAUUUUUUUUUUAUUCAAUUCUCAUCAAAGUAACAAUAUUCGUAAAUUAAACAAAUUGCAAUUUCUUCCAUGAUGUAUUGAGAAUCAGUGAAACUAAGAUGAUAUAUAGCACUUAUACGUUGUAUUUUUCAAGUAAAUAAUUACAUAAGAAAUAGAUCCUGAUUACCAACCUGCUGGUGAUUACGCCAAUGGCAACUCACUAGAGUCUCAUGAACCCCUAUAAACAUAGAGACUAGCAUAUAAAUAUUAAAAUAUACAUUGCUAGAAAGGAUAUUGCAUUAUCCAGAAAUAGGUGUAAAUGAAUGAACCUUAACUUUGCUUAGUGCAUUAAUGGCUAUAUGAUAAUUCCAUGAUUAUUAGGCAACUUUUGAUGGUGAUUCUUCUGAAUUAUGUGUGCUAGAACUCAUAAUCGCAAUCUCAACCUUGUUCUUUGGAAUAUGGCAUGACAUGGAUAUAACAUUAAUUGAUUUAAUGUGUCAAAAAAAGAAAGACUCAAGUUUGACUUCAGACAAAGAGAGUAAGCAGAGACUAAAGGUACUCUGUUUGGUUUUUUAGUAGCACGUCUUCCAUUCAAAUUAACAGCCGAUUGCAUGUAAAUUGCUUUGAAAUGCAAAACUUCUUUUUAAUAUUUAAAGUUGUCAUCUUUGUAAAGAAAUUUUUUAUCUAUAAUAUAAAAUAUAAAUAUCUAUUUCCUAAUACAAAAUUUGUAUAUAUGAAUGAGUAAUGUAGCAUAGGCGGUAUAUAGCAUCAAAAUCAUAAAAUUAUGUUACCGAAUUGCCUACAAUCUUUGGCAACUCUCUUGAAUUUGAAUUUUAUGGUAUAGAGUUUGGUGGCCAAAGUAAAUACAUAAAACACAAAUAUUUUGUUGAAAUUUUUUCAGGGUAACUAAUUAUUCCACAUCAAUUGAUAGGAAUUUCGUAUUUGGAAUUAAGAUGAUUUGCAACUAAUACAAACUGCAAAUGUUCUCUACAUAUUGUUUAAAACUCUAUUGGUGUUUGUUUUUCGGUCGUUAUUAUUUGACAUACAUUGUAGAAAAUAAUUUAUCAUAUGUAAUUAAUCUACCAUUGUUAUUUUUGCUACUUGUUACAUUUAUUGGAAAUCCAAGUGAUGGAAAAAUUUGUUGCUAAAUUUCACCUGAAAAUAAAUCAGGUGAAAGGUCGGUGCUAAAUUUCAGACAAAGUUUAUGUAGCUUAUCCGUCGUGAAGUAUUAAGCAAUAGAUUUGUCCUUGACUCAUACAUGAUUUUCCAUAAGUGAAGCGUCUAAAAGGAUAGCAAUCUUCACUGUCUUAUUUGUUUAUCUACUACAUAAUAAUUUAAGAAAACAUAUGAGAAGUAUUAUAACAAAAAGGCAUUCAACUAAAUACAUAUUAUGAGGGUGCAUAUAAGGAACAUUAUAAAAGCAAAUAACAUUGAAAGUACACCAAUAUCAAGCCUUCAUCAACAGAUUUGAAACUUGGCGCAUUGUUGGCCUUUCUUGUGGAUUUGAGUUCAAACAUGCUCUCGAGAGAUUCAGUACCAAAUUAACCUGUUUUUCAACUUGUGGUGAAGGAAGUGGAAUCCGACUAUCUCCAACAUUUGCUAACACCAGAUAAUCAACAGACAAUGUUGGUAGUUCACCAGGAUGCUUUCCCAUCAUCACUUCUAGUGCAACAAUCCCAAAGCUAUACACAUCACAUUUCUCAGUUGCCACCAUCGUAUAAGCAAGCUCUACAUCCAAAGAAACAUAGGAAAAAAACAAAAAGAAAACUACAUCAACCCCACAAGAUUCUAACAUGGAUACAUAUAUAUACAUAUACUUAUUCAUAUAUCUCAUGAAACUUAAGAAAAUAUAGAACUAGCAGCACAAAAUUACAUUACCUGGCGCGAUAUAACCAUAUGUUCCUACAGUUGCGGUCCAGUUGGAUGAGUCUAGCUUUAAAAGUUUGGAUGUGCCAAAAUCAGAAAUAUGUGCCUCAUAAUCAGAAUCAAGAAGGAUGUUGGAAAUGGAAAUGUCUCUAUGAAUUAUAGGAGGUGAGCAGUCGUGAUGCAUAUAAGCUAAACCAUUAGCUACACUUGUUACAAUAUUUACCCUUUUCAACCAAUCCAAUUCUCUUGCUAAGAUAUCGUUUCUUAAAAUUGAUCCAAGGCUUCCCUUUUCAAGGUGUUCGUAAAUCAAAAAGGAGUGGCGGACAUGUGAGCAAUAUCCAUAGAGUUUCACUAUGUUUCGAUGCCUUAUGUUCGUUAGUGCUCAUACCUCAUUAAGGAAUCCAUUAUGAUCAACAUUCUCAAAUGACGAGUGAAGUUUCUUGACGGCUACCACAUUGUUAGGUUGUAGCUGGGCUUUGUACACAGUUCCAUAUCCUCCGGUCCCAAUAGAGUAUGCUUCAUCAAAAUUAUUCGUUGCUUUCAAGAUUUCAUCGUACACUACUCCUCCAUCAAAACUUGUUAUGGAGAAAUAAUCACCACCUUCUUUGUCCAAUGGUUUCUGUGGAGAAUGUCUCUUUUGUUUUCGAUAAGCAAUGAGGCCAUAUGUGAAUAUACCAAGUAAAACUACCGCGAUAAGAGGCCAGAGUAUUACAAGGAUGAGUCAAUGAUGAAAGUGAUCUUUUUUCUUCUUCAUAAUUUGAUUUGCACAAAGUUUUAGUCCUGUAAAAUUUCCACACAAACCUGGAUUGCCUUGUAUGGACGCAUUCACAAAGUUGGGGCUUCGGGGAACCGGACCUGAAAGCUCAUUGUAAGAAAGGUUGAUAUCAAUUCCACGAGGCAAACUUGUAAAAGCAUCAGGAAUAGAGCCAGAUAGUCUAUUGUGAGAAAGAUCCAGCUUUUGCAAACUUUGCAAACCUUGAACUUCAGAUGGUAUCUCUUCUGUAAGCAAAUUCCGAGAUAAAUCAAGUUCUGUAAGUUGAACUAAUUUACCAAUCUCAGAUGGAAUUUUCUCAAAAAGCUGGUUAUUACUAAGAUUCAAGUGGUGGAUGUGUGACCAAUGACCAAUACUUUUAGGUAUCGACCCAGUCAAUCUAUUUCCAGAGAGAUCAAGUUCUUCAAGGUGUUCGUAGAAUUGAAGCUCCAGAGGUAUAAUGCCUGAAAGUUGGUUAUCAGACAAGUACAAAUACAACAUACUUUUCAUCUUCCCAAAGUCCUUUGGGAUCUCACCAACCAAAUGAUUCGAAGACAAAUCAAGUCUUUGUAGUUGAGUGGAAUUUCCAAACUCCGGAGGAAUGGAACCACUAAGUUGAUUGUUGCUCAUCCUAAGAUCACUGAGAGACUUCAAAUUCGUAAGUUGAAUAGGAAUGGGACCGUUGAGCUGAUUAUGGUACAUAUAAAGACCAUUUAAAGAUGUCAAAUUACCAAAUGAUGAAGGGAUAGAACCACUAAGUUGAUUUCCGCUCACCGCAAGAUGCGUGAGAGACUUCAAAUUCCCAAGUUCAGUAGGAAUAGGACCAGAAAAAUUAUUAUCCUUGAGGAUCAGCCAUUGUAAGUUACCCAGGUUUCCUAGAGAUGAAGGAAUAUAACCAUUAAGUUGAUUGUUACUCACCUCAAGAUCAGUAAGAGACUCCAAACUCCCAAGUUCAAUAGGAAUGGGACCAGAUAAAUUAUUCACUUGGAGGUACAGAGUCUCUAGGUUGCUGAGGUUUGAUAAUGAUGAAGGAAUAGAACCACUAAGUUGAUUGUAGGCCACCACAAGAUCCGUGAGAGAUUUUAAAUUCCCAAGCUCAGUAGGAAUGGUACCAGAGAGUUGAUUUUUGCCCAAAUAAAGGGCAUGCAAAGAUGUCAAAUCACCCAAUGAUGAGGGAAUUGAACCGCUAAAUUGAUUACUAAUCAGCUCAAGAUUAGUGAGAGACUUUAAAUUCCCAAGUUCUGUAGGAAUGAGACCAGAUAACUUAUUCUCAUUUAGGGACAAACGUUGUAGGUUACUCAGAUUUGCUAGCGAUAAAGGAAUAGAACCACUAAGUUGGUUUUCACCCAAACUAAGAUUAGUAAGAGACUUCAAAUUCCCAAGUUCAAUAGGAAUGAGACCGGAGAGUUGAUUUUGGCCCAAAUAAAGGACACUCAAAGAUGUCAAAUCACCCAAUGAUGAAGGAAUGGAACCACUAAGCCGAUUCUCACCUACCUCAAGAUUAAUGAGUGACUUCAAAUUCCCAAGUUCACUAGGAAUCGGACCAGAUAAUCUAUUCCCACCUAGGUACAGUUCCCGUAAGUUGCUCAGGUUUGCUAGUGAUGAAGGAAUAGAACUAGUAAGUUCAUUGUAGCUCACAGCAAGAUUAGUGACAGAUUUUAAAUUCCCAAGUUCAUUAGGAAUUGGACCAGAGAGUUGAUUAUGGUGCAAAUAAAGGACAUUCAAAGAUGUCAAAUCACCCAAUGAUGAAGGAAUUGAUCCAGAUAUAUUGUUUGAGUAUAGGUACAAGAUGGUUAGCUGGUGCAGGUUUCCUAUUUCAGGUGGGAUUACCCUAGAAAAUUUGUUCUCUGAAAAAUCAAGAUGGACAAGUUUGGACAGGAGUCCGAUUUCUGGUGGGAUGGGGCCAAAGAAGUUGUUCAUACCGAGAUCAAAAUGCGUAAGUUUGUGUAGCAAAGAGAACGGAAAUUGGUGGAGUGUACCUUUUAUGCCGGAUGAACUGAGGUUCAACCUGUGAAUCCUGUAAUUAGAAUUGCAAACUAUUCCAAACCAAGAAGAGCAUGGAUGUGAUGCACUGGAAUUCAAAGGGAGUGGAAUCCAUGAAGAGAGCACGGAGUUGAUUGGGAUUUCAAGGCUUGAUUUCCAUUUAAUAAGAGCAUUGCCUUCCUCCAAAGAAGCGGAAGCGAAAUUUGUUAUGAGGGAGAAUGUGAUGAUUAGUAGAGCUAGAGAGAAAAAUAAGACGUUUAAAGAUGACAUUAUUUGCUUUGCCAUGUUGCUUUUAAUAAAAAAAAAAGGAUGGUUUUCAUGUCCUAAUUUAUACUUGAGCUGUCUUUUUCUCUUGUUUUCUUAUUCAUGUCCUAUGAAAGGAGAUUUGGGCAAUGUCAUGUUUUUCCACAUGGAGUGUCUUUUACGGUGUCAAAUUUUCCACAAGGGAGUGUACUACACUUUGAAUUCUAUCUGUCAUGACAUUAAUCAUUUUUUCUUAGAACAAUGAAAUUCGUUGUAUCAUGAAAUUUAGCAAUGCGCUAUGAUUGCAAAAAGACAACCGUAUUAUAUGUUAUUUUUGGAUUUAACAUUCUAAUAAUAUAACUUAACUUGAUAAUUUGGACAUAUUUAUUUUUGUUUUCAGAUUAUGCUAAAUAGAAAUUUCACUCAAACUGUGUUUUACUUCAAAACUGUGUGCAUGGGUCCCUAAAAGGAAUCUAAAAAGCAAAUGCACAUGAUGUAUUCCUUGAAUGUGUGAAUAAGAGUGUUGGGUACGACACAUUUAUUUCAUCUCUUGACGCAACUAAAACUUCUUAUACUUGCCUUGACUUAAAAAUGGAGAUUAUUGAAUAAAAGUUAAAAUACAACGGUAUUACUGUCUGUUUCUCAUAUUUUCCACCAGUGAUUAGUUUACACAAAUCUUUAGAGUUCUUCUGCAUUCGUGAUCAAUUCUGUAUCUUCGGGUACUUAUCUUCACAUAGAGUGACAAAAUUAGCGACAAAUUUUUUGAUGGACUAGAAGUAUACUAUAACUUCAUUAAUCAAAUUGUUACACAUAUUUAAUUUUGUUUUCCAAGUAAAUUCUAAUAAAAGAUUCAUUCUUAAGGCAAAUUUACCUAUCAAAUUUGAGAAACCUCCUACAUUUUCUUCCUACUUAUUUUUCUACCUAUUUAAAAUGUUGACAUAUGUCAUAUUUAGAUAAGAUUAAUGAUAUUUUAGUACACUUGUCAUUAUUUCAAAUGGGUAGGAAAAUAUAUAGGAAGGAAAAUAGGAGAAAGGUAAAAUUAAAUGUGUACUUGUUUGUUUGUUUGCUUGUUUUUUUUUUUUUUUUUUUUUUUUUUUUUUUUUUUUUUUUUUUUUUUUUUUUAAAUUCAAACUGGACUUGCUAUUAUCGCUUGAAAUUACAGAGGAGAUGAACUUUAGAAAAGACAAAAUUUAACUUGGUAAGCCGAAAACUUACGUCAGUAAAAGUUGCCAUGCAAAAGUCUUUAUCAAUUGAAUUUUUAAUCUUUUAAUAGCUACUAUGUCCAUGUGAAUUCUAGAUAGACCAAUGACGUCAAAGCCAAAUGCAACGUGUUUUGCUUCAGAAAUUAAUGUUCAUAAGUCCACACUACGGAUGAGCGUUUGGACCGAAUACCGAAUCGGAACCAGAACCGAACCUAACUGAAUUAGGAAUGAAUAAG
rnacentral:lncRNA from 1 species